UACAGAGGUCCCAAGCGUUGUUCGGAUUCACUGGGCGUAAAGCGCACGUAGGCGGAUUGUUAAGUCAGGGGUGAAAUCCUGGAGCUCAACUCCAGAACUGCCUUUGAUACUGGCGAUCUUGAGUCCGGGAGAGGUGAGUGGAACUGCGAGUGUAGAGGUGAAAUUCGUAGAUAUUCGCAAGAACACCAGUGGCGAAGGCGGCUCACUGGCCCGGUACUGACGCUGAGGUGCGAAAGCGUGGGGAGCAAACAGG
rnacentral:rRNA from 1 species